CCGAAAGUGAGAAAAUAAAAACAAAGAAACAUUCAAGCUAGGGUUCGGCCAUUAGGAAGUUUAAAUUAAGAUCAAGAACCAAAGAAAUCAGAGUUGGAUCGGGGAAAAGCUAAAGUCAUCGAUUAAUCGUCCGGUUUCAAUUUUACACUGUCCGAGAUAAAAACCAAGCUGCAGACUCGGGGAUCGUUAGCAAAGAUCAUCACUCUAUCUACUGUCUCGGUAUUGAAAUGUUUAAAUUUUAACUUAUGGCAUGUAUAGGCUAGAUAAUGUUUUGGAAGUCGUACUUUGAUGUACUGUAUAUAUAAGUAAUAGUCAUACG